AUGGACAAGCACACGAUUCGCAUCUACGGUCUAGCCUUGCUACUGUCUCUCCAUCUCCUAUGCUCCGCACCUACUGCGCAAUGUCGUAUCAUCGGUGAAGAAGACGUGGAUGACGAGAAGAUCAAUUUACCGUAUGGACUUUGUGUCAACAAUAGACCGUGCAAAGCUGGAUGGGUCUGCUUGUGUUGUCUCCUCAAUCAAGAGUGCUACCCGUCCAUGGAUGCAUGCAAGAAAGACUGUCUGAAACCCUCUGCCGCUGACAUGGUGUCCAUGGCAAUGACCCGUUCUCCUUUACCUGCCCCCUCUCCCGCCUCUUCAUUAGGUUCAGUUUGA
rnacentral:rRNA from 1 species